rnacentral:rRNA from 1 species
UUCGCUCUUGUGCCAGCAGCCGCGGUAAUUCCAGUAACAGGAUAGCGUAUAUUAAAGUUGUUGUGGUUAAAAAGCUCUGUAGUUGAACCUUGGGCCUGGCUGGCCGGUCCGCCUCACCGCGUGCACUGGUCCGGCCGGGCCUUUCCCUCUGUGGAACCCCAUACCCUUCACUGGGCGUGGCGGGGAAACAGGGCAUUUACUUUGAAAAAAUUAGAGUGCUCCAGGCAGGCCUAUGCUCGAAUACAUUAGCAUGGAAUAAUAAAAUAGGACGCGCGGUUCUAUUUUGUUGGUUUAUAGGACCGCCGUAAUGAUUAAUAGGGACAGUCGGGGGCAUCAGUAUUCAACUGUCAGAGGUGAAAUUCUUGGAUCAGUUGAAGACUAACUACUGCGAAAGCAUUUGCCAAGGAUGUUUUCAUUAAUCAGGAACGAAAGUUAGGGGAUCGAAGACGAUCAGAUACCGUCGUAGUCUUAACCAUAAACUAUGCCGACUAGGGAUCGGACGGUGUUAUUCAUGACCCGUUCGGCACCUUACGAGAAAUCAAAGUGCUUGGGGCUCCAGGGGGAGUAUGGGUCGCAAGGCUGAAACUUAAAGAAAUUGACGGAAGGGCACCACCAGGGUGGAGCCUGCGGCUUUAAUUUGACUCAACACGGGGAACUCACCAGGCCCAGACAACAAUUAGGGAUUGACAGAUUGAGAGCUCUUUCUUGGAUUUUGUGGGGUGGGGGGUGCAUGGCCGGUUCUUAAGUUGGUGGGGGUGACUUGGUCUGCUUUAUUUGCGAUAACGAAACGAGAGAUCUUUAACUCUGCUAAAUAGUC